AUUGAACGCUGGCGGCAGGCUUAACACAUGCAAGUCGAGCGGGGUGAUGGUGCUUGCACUAUCACUUAGCGGCGGACGGGUGAGUAAUGCUUAGGAAUCUGCCUAUUAGUGGGGGACAACAUUUCGAAAGGAAUGCUAAUACCGCAUACGUCCUACGGGAGAAAGCAGGGGAUCUUCGGACCUUGCGCUAAUAGAUGAGCCUAAGUCGGAGUAGCUAGUUGGGGGGGUAAAGGCCUACCAAGGCGACGAUCUGUAGCGGGUCUGAGAGGAUGAUCCGCCACACUGGGACUGAGACACGGCCCAGACUCCUACGGGAGGCAGCAGUGGGGAAUAUUGGACAAUGGGCGGAAGCCUGAUCCAGCCAUGCCGCGUGUGUGAAGAAGGCCUUAUGGUUGUAAAGCACUUUAAGCGAGGAGGAGGCUACUUUAGUUAAUACCUAGAGAUAGUGGACGUUACUCGCAGAAUAAGCACCGGCUAACUCUGUGCCAGCCGCCGCGGUAAAAC
rnacentral:rRNA from 1 species